ACCAUUUUUGAGCCGAAAAUGGUAACAAUUUCCGCACGUCGGAAAUUGUUACCAUUUUCGGCUCAAAAAUGGU